CUUGUUACAAGGAUUGGGUCAGAAAUGAAGAUCGGUGUUAUUUCAUAUCCACGUUUGAAACAUCUUACCGUGGAGCGACGAAACAAUGUUCAAACUACACAUCGAGGCUUCUUCAAUUAAAUACAACAGAGGAAAAGAAUUUUUUUUUCAACGCUGUCUGCCAUCAAAAUAGAAAAUACUGGAUUGGAAAAUGUAAAGACGGGAAAGUGGCCUCUAAUGUCCUGUACAAGACACACUCUGGGAACCUCCAUUGCACUGAAUGUAAAUCGUCCAGUAGGCGAUCCCCUUGCAAUCGUAAUGAACACCAUUUCAUCUGCGAGACGGCUGCAUCUGUGUACCCGGAUAUUCCUGAGGAGAUCCAGGAUCUCUGUCGACAUCCAAUACGGGAGUUAUCAAUCAUGUGACAACCCCCGCUAUCUCCCCUGUCUCUCAACCCCACCGACAAUGCCCCAUCUGCCCCUCGGCCC